AUUGAACGCUGGCGGCAGGCCUAACACAUGCAAGUCGAGCGGAUGAAGAGAGCUUGCUCUCUGAUUUAGCGGCGGACGGGUGAGUAAUGCCUAGGAAUCUGCCUGGUAGUGGGGGAUAACGUCCGGAAACGGGCGCUAAUACCGCAUACGUCCUACGGGAGAAAGCAGGGGACCUUCGGGCCUUGCGCUAUCAGAUGAGCCUAGGUCGGAUUAGCUAGUUGGUGAGGUAAUGGCUCACCAAGGCGACGAUCCGUAACUGGUCUGAGAGGAUGAUCAGUCACACUGGAACUGAGACACGGUCCAGACUCCUACGGGAGGCAGAAGUGGGGAAUAUUGGACAAUGGGCGAAAGCCUGAUCCAGCCAUGCCGCGUGUGUGAAGAAGGUCUUCGGAUUGUAAAGCACUUUAAGUUGGGAGGAAGGGCAGUAAGUUAAUACCUUGCUGUUUUGACGUUACCGACAGAAUAAGCACCGGCUAACUUCGUGCCAGCAGCCGCCGUAAAAC
rnacentral:rRNA from 1 species